rnacentral:rRNA from 1 species
GACGAACCGUACGAACGUUAUUCGGAAUCACUGGGCUUAAAGGGUGCGUAGGCUGCGCAGCAAGUUGGGUGUGAAAUCCCUCGGCUUAACCGAGGAACUGCGCCCAAAACUGCUGUGCUCGAGGGAGACAGAGGUGAGCGGAACUUAGGGUGGAGCGGUGAAAUGCGUUGAUAUCCUAAGGAACACCGGUGGCGAAAGCGGCUCACUGGGUCUCUUCUGACGCUGAGGCGCGAAAGCUAGGGGAGCAAACGGG